rnacentral:tRNA from 7 species
GCGGGUGUGGCGGAACUGGCAGACGCGCUAGAUUUAGGUUCUAGUGUCUUACGACGUGGGGGUUCAAAUCCCUUCACCCGCA